GAAAAAAUAGUUUAAAAAAAACAUUUAACUGUGACUUAAAAAUUGAGAAACACUCUUUUUUCA
rnacentral:tRNA from 1 species